ACGCUCGACACCUACGGAGGCAGCAGUGGGGAAUAUUGCACAAUGGGGGAAACCCUGAUGCAGCGACGCCGCGUGAGCGAAGAAGUAUUUCGGUAUGUAAAGUUCUAUCAGCAGGGAAGAAACUGACGGUACCUGACUAAGAAGCACCGGCUAAAUACGUGGCAGCAGCCGCGGUAAUCUGAGCGGGCUGGCAAGGC
rnacentral:rRNA from 1 species